GACAGUUCGGUCCCUAUCCGUCGUGGGCGUAGGAAAUUUGAGAGGAGCUGUCCUUAGUACGAGAGGACCGGGAUGGACAUACCUCUGGUGUACCAGUUGUCGUGCCAACGGCAUAGCUGGGUAGCUAUGUAUGGACGGGAUAAGUGCUGAAAGCAUCUAAGCAUGAAGCCCCCCUCAAGAUGAGAUUUCCCAACUUCGGUUAUAAGAUCCCUCAAAGAUGAUGAGGUUAAUAGGUUCGAGGUGGAAGCGUGGCGACACGUGGAGCUGACGAAUACUAAUCGAUCGAAGACUUAAUCAAUUU
rnacentral:rRNA from 1 species